GGACUACACGGGUAUCUAAUCCUGUUCGCUCCCCUAGCUUUCGCACCUCAGCGUCAGAAAUCAGCCAGGACACUGCCUUCGCCUUGGGUAUUCCUCCGGAUAUCUACGCAUUUCACCACUCCACCCGGAAUUCUAUGUCCCUCUCUGAUUCUCAAGUCACCCAGUUUUCAGAGGCCUUGCUCAGUUAAGCCGAGCACUGUCACUCCAAACUUAGACGACCGCCUGCGUGCCCUUUACGCCCAGUAACUCCGGACAACGCUUGCCCCCUACGUAUUACCGCGGCUGCUGGCAC
rnacentral:rRNA from 1 species